GGGACACCCUCCUGAAGUCCAGCCCUUCUCUGCUCAGCAGGUAGCCACCCAUAGCCACAGGAGGAAGGAGGACAUUUGCAUGAGGAGCCCCCCUCCCUCAGGAUAAGAAAGGCCUGGGGGCCCUCCCCAGCUAUAGGCUCAGAGGCAGAGCUCUGGGGAGUCUCCACCAUGGCCUGGACCCCUCUCCUUCUCCCCCUCCUCACUCUCUGCACAGGCUCCGUGGCCUCCUCUGCAUUGAAUCAGCAGUCUUCAGUGUCUGUGGCCCUGGGACAGACAGUCAGGCUCCCCUGCCAGGGAGGAGGCUUAGGAAGCUAUUAUUCUCACUGGUACCAGCAGAAGCCAGGCCAGCGCCCUGCACUGUUCAUCUAUGGUGAUAGCAGCCGGGCCUCAGGGGUCCCUGACCGAUUCUCCGGCUCCCGCUCUGGUGGAACGGCCACCCUGACCAUCACUGGCGCCCAGGCUGAGGAUGAGGCUGACUAUUUCUGUCAGUCAUGGGACAGCACUGGUAACGACCUCACACAGAUGGGGAAUUGA